rnacentral:rRNA from 1 species
UACGUAGGGGGCUAGCGUUGUCCGGAAUCAUUGGGCGUAAAGAGCGCGUAGGCGGCCAGAUAAGUCCGGUGUGAAAGUCACAGGCUCAACCUGUGAAUGCCGCUGGAAACUGUCUGGCUAGAGUCCGGGAGGGGCGAGUGGAAUUCCUGGUGUAGCGGUGAAAUGCGCAGAUAUCAGGAGGAACACCAAUGGCGAAGGCAGCUCGCUGGAACGGUACUGGCACUGAGGCGCGAAAGCGUGGGGAGCGAACAGG